ensembl:snRNA U6 U6 spliceosomal RNA
GUGCUCACUUCAGCAGCACAUAUACUAAAAUUGGAACUAUACGGAGAAGAUUAGUACGGCCCCUGAGCAAGAAUGACACACAAAUUUGUGAAGCGUUCCAUAUUUUU